rnacentral:rRNA from 1 species
UCCGCCAGGGAACUACGAGCACAGCUUAAAACCCAAAGGACUUGGCGGUGUCCUAUACCACCUAGAGGAGCCUGUUCUUUAAUCGAUAAUCCACGAUCCACCUCACCAUUUCUUGCCUAACAGCUUAUAUACCGCCGUCGUCAAUUUUCCCUUUGAAGGACUAAAAGAAAGUUUAAAGGCCCCCACCAAAACGUCAGGUCAAGGUGUAGCGAAUGAAAUGGGAAGAAAUGGGCUACAUUUUCUAAGAUAGACUAGACGGAUAAUCAAUAUGAAAUCUGAUCAUGAAGGAGGAUUUAGCAGUAAAAAGAAAUCAGCAAGUUCUUUUUAACACGGCCCUAGGACGCGCACACACCGCCCGUCACCCUCUUCGACUCUUUAAAUUAUUUAAUUAAUCAACCAUCCUGAAUUCUAGAAGAGGCAAGUCGUAACAUGGUAAGUAUACCGGAAGGUGUACUUGGA